UACGUAGGUGGCAAGCGUUGUCCGGAUUUACUGGGUGUAAAGGGCGUGCAGCCGGAGAGACAAGUCAGAUGUGAAAUCCACGGGCUCAACUCGUGAACUGCAUUUGAAACUGUUUCCCUUGAGUGUCGGAGAGGUAAUCGGAAUUCCUUGUGUAGCGGUGAAAUGCGUAGAUAUAAGGAAGAACACCAGUGGCGAAGGCGGAUUACUGGACGAUAACUGACGGUGAGGCGCGAAAGCGUGGGGAGCAAACAGG
rnacentral:rRNA from 1 species